CAACUCCGAUUUCAGAUCCGUUUGUUUCUACGCGUUCCUAACUUCGAGCCCCACCUUUUCCACCGACCUAUGGUCUCUAUAAACUCUCCACCAGACCGCAGUUUCAUUUUCCCUUUCCUUCUCUCGAAAUCCUACAUCAACGAAAUCUUAACUCGUUGAUUUGACCACCAAAAUUACCUCUAAUCGCCUCAGGCUCUACACAAAAGUUGUAGAUCUCAUCGAGAUCUUUCAAUCUCGACCAAUCUCAUCUCUUUUCGUCCACCAUACAUGGAUAAUUUCGCAUCGCAAGCCGUCAGGUCUGACAAAGGGAAUCUUCAAUUAGUUCGUGCUCGUUCCACGAAAUCCAAAUUCCUUUAAUCUAUUUCGAGUCAACCGGAGCCAAAUCGAGUUUCAAAACCAUCUCGAAUCGUCAUGACCUCAACACGGAAGUUGUUCCUCUCGUCAAGAUCUUUCAAUUGCCGCAAGUUUCACCUUGUUUCGUUCACCGAGCAAGGAGAAAAUCGUGUUGCAAGAUUCGGAUCUUAUAAGGUUCGUCUGAGGAGGAGUACUAGGUAGGAUCUCGAGUCUACAUUCCAACAUGUCUGCCUGUGGCGCAUGAAGACAAUGGAGGCUCACUGCAGUUAUUUUCCGUUGUGUUUGCUUUGAACAUUUAUAUUUGAGCUAGUCUAUUUUGGCUAUGCAAUUUGUAAGACUUUAUUUUUAUCUCCUGAGGAUCUGCGUUGUAAUAAAUUUGAUACUAUUGCUAUGAUUACUACAUUUGAAA